rnacentral:rRNA from 1 species
GUGUAGCCGGGCUGAGAGGUUGACCGGCCACAUUGGGACUGAGACACGGCCCAAACUCCUACGGGAGGCAGCAGUAGGGAAUUUUCGGCAAUGGAGGAAACUCUGACCGAGCAACGCCGCGUGAACGAUGAAGUAUUUCGGUACGUAAAGUUCUUUUAUUAGGGAAGAAUAAAUGAUGGAAAAAUCAUUCUGACGGUACCUAAUGAAUAAGCCCCGGCUAACUAUGUGCCAGCAGCCGCGGUAAUACAUAGGGGGCAAGCGUUAUCCGGAAUUAUUGGGCGUAAAGGGUGCGUAGGCGGUUAAAUAAGUUUAUGGUCUAAGUGCAAUGCUUAACAUUGUGAUGCUAUAAAAACUGUUUAGCUAGAGUAAGAUAGAGGCAAGUGGAAUUCCAUGUGUAGUGGUAAAAUGCGUAAAUAUAUGGAGGAACACCAGUAGCGAAGGCGGCUUGCUGGGUCUUUACUGACGCUGAGGCACGAAAGCGUGGGGAGCAAACAGGAUUAGAUACCCUGGUAGUCCACGCCGUAAACGAUGAGUACUAAAUGUUGGGUAAAACCAGUGUUGAAGUUAACACAUUAAGUACUCCGCCUGAGUAGUACGUACGCAAGUAUGAAACUUAAAGGAAUUGACGGGACUCCGCACAAGCGGUGGAUCAUGUUGUUUAAUUCGAAGGUACCCGAAAAACCUCACCAGGUCUUGACAUGCUUCUGCAAAGCUGUAGAAACACAGUGGAGGUUAUCAGUUGCACAGGUGGUGCAUGGUUGUCGUCAGCUCGUGUCGUGAGAUGUUGGGUUAAGUCCCGCAACGAGCGCAACCCUUAUUGUUAGUUGCCAGCACGUAAUGGUGGGGACUUUAGCAAGACUGCCAGUGAUAAAUUGGAGGAAGGUGGGGACGACGUCAAAUCAUCAUGCCCCUUAUGACCUGGGCUACAAACGUGAUACAAUGGCUGUUACAAAGGG